rnacentral:rRNA from 1 species
GAUGAACGCUGGCGGCGUGCUUAACACAUGCAAGUCGAACGGAAAGGCCCAAGCUUGCUUGGGUACUCGAGUGGCGAACGGGUGAGUAACACGUGGGUGAUCUGCCCUGCACUUCGGGAUAAGCCUGGGAAACUGGGUCUAAUACCGGAUAGGACCACUUCUUGGAUGUUGUGGUGGAAAGUUUUUUCGGUGUGGGAUGAGCUCGCGGCCUAUCAGCUUGUUGGUGGGGUAAUGGCCUACCAAGGCGUCGACGGGUAGCCGGCCUGAGAGGGUGUACGGCCACAUUGGGACUGAGAUACGGCCCAGACUCCUACGGGAGGCAGCAGUGGGGAAUAUUGCACAAUGGGCGCAAGCCUGAUGCAGCGACGCCGCGUGGGGGAUGACGGCCUUCGGGUUGUAAACUCCUUUCGCUAGGGACGAAGCGUUUUUGUGACGGUACCUGGAGAAGAAGCACCGGCUAACUACGU